rnacentral:rRNA from 1 species
GACGAACGCUGGCGGCACGCUUAACACAUGCAAGUCGAACGAGAGAAGAGAAGCUUGCUUUUCUGAUCUAGUGGCGGACGGGUGAGUAACACGUGAGCAAUCUGCCUUUCAGAGGGGGAUACCGAUUGGAAACGAUCGUUAAUACCGCAUAACAUAAUUGAACCGCAUGAUUUGAUUAUCAAAGAUUUAUCGCUGAAAGAUGAGCUCGCGUCUGAUUAGCUAGUUGGUAAGGUAACGGCUUACCAAGGCGACGAUCAGUAGCCGGACUGAGAGGUUGAUCGGCCACAUUGGGACUGAGGCCCUGCCCAGACACCUACGGGAGGCAGCAGUGGGGAAGAUUGCACAAUGGAGGAAACUCUGAUGCAGCGAUGCCGCGUGAGGGAAGAAGGUUUUAGGAUUGUAAACCUCUGUCUUCAGGGACGAAAAAAGACGGUACCUGAGGAGGAAGCACCGGCUAACUACGUG